rnacentral:tRNA from 1 species
UAGUUCAACGGUUAGAAUGUGGCCUUGCCAAGGCUAAGAUGUCGGUUCGAUUCCGAU